UUUCCGUAGGUGAACCUGCGGAAGGACCAUUAAAAAAUGUGGUACCAAUUAUUGGUACUAAUUAAUCAUCCUACCCUUUGUGAAUUUGUUUGUAUGAAUUUUUUUAAAUGGGUCUUUCCUAAGUUGGAUUGUUAGUAAAAUACAAAAAGACUUAGGGAAUGACUUUUUUAAAAGACUUUUUUUUAAUUAAAACUUUUUGUAUUCAUUUGUCUAAAUUUAUUUUAUAAUAUAAAAACAACUUUUGACAAUGGAUCUCUUGGUUCUCGCAACGAUGAAGAACGCAGCAAAAUGCGAUAAGUAGUGUGAAUUGCAGAAUACGUGAAUCAUCGAAUCUUCGAACGCAUAUUGCACUUUUUUAGUUUACUAAAAAGUAUGUCUGUUUGAGUAUCAGUAAAAUAUUCUCACAAACAUAUAUUGUUUGUGGUAUGAGUGUUUUACAACGAUAAACAAGUUGUUUCACUUUAAAUUCUUUUUAAUGAUUUUACCAAUUACAAAUUAAAAUUGGAUAAAAUUUUCCUUUAACGAGGAAUAACCUAAACAAUUUUAAAUUUUUGGCUUGUAAAAUCAUCAAAGGAAUCUAUAUCAUAAAUAACUUGAUCUCAAAUCAGAUAAGAGUACCCGCUGAACUUAAGCAUAUCAAUAAGCGGAGGAAAAGAAACUAACAAGGAUUCCUUAGUAACGGCGAGUGAAGCGGGAAGAGCUCAAAUUUGAAAUCUUCAAGGUUUGACCUUGACGAAUUGUAGUUUAUAGAAGUGUUUUCUGUUGGAGUUUUGGUAAAAGUUCUUUGGAAUAGGACAUCAUAGAGGGUGAGAAUCCCGUAUUUGACCAUGACUUUCCAGCUGUGUGAUACACUUUCAAAGAGUCGGAUUGUUUGGGAAUGCAGUCCAAAUGGGUGGUAAAUUUCAUCUAAAGCUAAAUAUUGGCGAGAGACCGAUAGCGAACAAGUACCGUGAGGGAAAGAUGAAAAGAACUUUGAAAAGAGAGUUAAACAGUACGUGAAAUUGUCAAAAGGGAAGCGUUUGACACCAGUGUUGUUUUCUCGAAAAUCAAUUUAAUGAGUUCUUGUUUUUAAGUUAUUGUGACUUUAUCAGCGCAUUUCUUAUUUUACUUGACUCAUUGAAUGCACUUUUCGUUUAACAAGUCAACAUCAAUUUCUUUGGUGGUAAAAAGUUUAAAGGAAGGUGGCUUGGACUUCGGUUCAAGUGUUUAUAGCCUUUUUUCUAUGCCAUCGGAGAGAUUGAGGUCUGCAGCGUAGAUCCUUCGGGUUAGAUACCUUUGUGCUAAGUUAUAGUUUUUUAUAGACAACUUGUUGACUAUAAUUAACCCUGUAAUUUACUCGCUUAGGCUAUUUUACCUACGCUUAGGAUGUUGAG
rnacentral:misc_RNA from 1 species